rnacentral:rRNA from 1 species
UGGGGAAUAUUGCACAAUGGGCGCAAGCCUGAUGCAGCCAUGCCGCGGGUGUGAAGAAGGCCUUCGGGUUGUAAAGCACUGUCAGCGGGGAGGAAGGCGAUAAGGUUAAUAACCUCAUCGAUUGACGUUACCCGCAGAAGAAUCACCGGCUAACGCCGUGCCAGCAGCCGCGGUAAUACGGAGGGUGCAAGCGUUAAUCGGAAUUACUGGGCGUAAAGCGCACGCAGGCGGUCUGUCAAGUCGGAUGUGAAAUCCCCGGGCUCAACCUGGGAACUUCAUUCUAAACUGGCAGGCUAGAGUCUUGUAGAGGGGUGUAGAAUUCCAGGUGUAGCGGUGAAAUGCGUCGAGAUCUGGAGGAAUACCGGUGGCGGAGGCGGCCCCCUGGCCAAAGACUGACGCUCAGGUGCGAAAGCGUGGGGAGCAAACAGG